AUCAAUUUCAAUCUUUAUCAUCUUGAUUUCUCUUUUCACAUAGGAUUUUCUUUUCUCAAUAUCCUCACAGUUUCGUAUUCCCAAUAUACAUUCAAUUCCUUCUACUCACCUUUCCAAGUGUCAACAUUUCAUGCUCUUCUCCUGAUUUCGCUAUCUUUCCCAUUCCAACAAAUAUCACAUUCUCUCUUCCCAUCAUAUGUGUAUCAAUAUUCAUACAUCCAUCCUUAGAUCAAGAAUACUAUUCAGAAAAAUUCAUACAGUUCAUACCUUCAUCUCAACACCAACAAGAUAACCCAUAAAUCUCCAGAAAAUUCAUACCUUCUAACCCAUGUUCUCGAUCUUUCCAGAAAAUUUCAUCCUUUUCUCUUAAAAUCAAGAACAUAUUCCUUAUUCAAACUGUUAACCCUAUUUUACGAUUUUUCAUCAACACCUUUUUCUAAUUCUCGACAAAUAUGGCUAUUAAAAAGAUGGCUUUGCUGAAGAAGAAACUCAUUCUACCAACCCACCUCAAUCCUAUUCCAUUUCCAUUGUUGAUACCCAAAAUGCUAACAACAUUUCUCAAAGAAGUUAUCAAACCGACAUGCUCUAACCCUUCUUCAUGCACCCCUCUGAUAACCCUGGCCAUGCUAUUGUUAUACUUGCGUUAACCAAUCAGAAUUACCAUACUUGGUCUCGGUCCAUUCACGUCUCCCUUAGAUCGAAAAACAAAUUAGGUUUCAUUGGUGGAACCCUAUUUCGUCCUGCUUCUGAAGACCGAAAGCCCAUGGCUUGGGACCUCUGUAACACCAUGGUCAUGCCAUGGAUCACAAACUCCAUCGGUCCUUAUAUCGCAUAGAGCCUUAUUUCAAUUGAAAUUACUUAAAAAUUUUAGGAAGAACUCAAGGAAUGGUACCAUCAAGGAGACGUCUCCGGAAUUUUCUCAGGAUUUUGUUUUUUUAUUUAUUUAUUUUCUUGCUUGUGGUGUUGUUUGUCUCACUAAUUGUCUUUACAUUAACUUAGAGGCAUAAUGGCUUAUAUAUACUAUAAACUAAGGCACUUAAGGGUUGCCUAACACGCAUCAGUGCAGUGGGAGAAGAGUCAACGGGUUUCGAAGGCUCCUAGCCCCUUUGGUCAUGCAAAGUCAUCUAUUUCUGGGACUCGUGCUUCUCCUCAUGCCACAUCAUCUUCUUCCCGUAGGAGACGGGAUUCACCAUCUGACGUAUCAUCCCUCCAUCCUCCCGUAGAAGUCAGGUACCCGAUUCACUAGUGUCACCUCCUACUGUAGAUGCUUCUGAGUCUGUGCCACUUCCUAUUGUUGAUGUUGCUGAUCUAGCACCACCUCCGAAGGUUGGGGCUGUUGUGGGGGUUGAGCUAGAGGAAUUUGGAGAAGGCCCUUUUAAUUUGUCAUUAUUGUCACUAUAACUAUAUCAUAUUGCCAUACAUAUCUGGGACAGAGAGGAAUGUGAUCCGCAUAAGUUUAUUAACCACGGGCGAAAGAUUACUAACUUGCCUCAGCUGAAUGAAGAUUGGUUUCAUGGGGGUUUGUCCUUAUCUGGCCUGAAGGACUUGUGCAUGAUUGGUUAUACUACGGUCAACCACAGGACGCUUCCUGCAUCCUUGGAGAAAUGGCACUCGGAUACCUCGUCAUUUCAUCUCUCGCUUGGUGAAAUGUUUAUCGCACUCGACGAUGUAUCGUGUUUGUUACAUCUUCCGAUCAGGGGAGACUCCUAGUUCAUAAGAGGAUUACCAAAGACGAGGCACAUCAAAUGAUGGUAGACUAUCUGAGGGAUGACCCAGGGGGGAGGAGGAGUUGGAUAGGACCAAGAGUGCUCAUGCAAGGUUUGAAUACCUGAAGAAGAUAUAUACAAAUGAGUUACAUAGAGAACAUCAGCCACAGGUAAUGACGAAAAGGUGGGGCUCCACAUAGCACAUGCUAUGAGAGCAUAUUUGUUAUAUUUGGUUGGCACUGCUAUUUUUAUGAACAAGAGUGCCACUUAUACAGAUGUCGUCUACCUACGGUACUUCCUAGAUUUCGAGCGGAUCCAUGAGUACAACUGGGGGGCGUUUGUUUGGUCUACCUGUACUCGAAGUUGAGAUAGGCUUGUAUGUGGAAGACGAAGCAGAUCACAGGCAGCGCCACACUAUUGACGAUAAUAAUUAUUGGAUUUGGAUCCUCAAGCACUUCCUGCACAUCUCCAGUUGGGCGAGUGUUGAGACUUACACUGAGGAUAUGUCGCAUGCUACUAAAUUUUCCCUGCUCAAAGUGAACUAGACGACUGAGCCUUUCAGGGUGUAUCUUAACUGUUUGGUUGACGAGGACAUGCACUUCAACAACUAUGUCGAUCACCGCCGGACGUGACCAUUUGACGAGAUAGUGUUAUACUUUUGAUGGUUGGUAUGCGGAUCACAUCUCAUUGCUCCUCAUUUGCCUGAGCGCAUCAUGCGGCACUUUGGCUACACUCAUACCAUUUUCGGACACCCUGUUGUCUUUGUUCCUCCUGCUUUAAAACCGAGACAGAUAGAUGACAUAUUUGAUGAUUAUGAGAGUCAUCUGGUACCAGAGGAGGCAUGGAGUAUCCUAGUUGUAAGCGAUUGGAGUUACGUCAAAGGGCAUAUCAAAUGGUUCUUCAGGGUGUCACAUUCGUACAUGGCGCAUGUGCUCAUGGAGACCCAUCUAGGUCAGCUCAUCGGGAGAUAUUAGAGGAGGACCAAACUCAUUUAGAUUAUGUUGAGGAUGUCUUGCCUAGAUGUCGUCGCAUUGUGGAGAUUGCACAAGCAGUCAUUGACAGAUGUAUCUUCCAUGAUGGGUCUGAUGUGAGAUAGGUCCUAAAUGCCAUCAUGACGGAGGCAUAGGGGACAUUGAUGUACCGGAGACAGCGUCAAAAGACAGGGGAUUAAUGGUCGGGGAGGCAGAGUUGGCAGAGGAGGCAGAGACGACGUAGUCAGACAUACAAAUUAGUGCAUUAGUAUAUAGUAUUAGUAGUAGUAGGAUGAAUUGUAUUUUAUUUUAACAUCACGCUACUUUAAAGUUGUUCUCGAC